AUAAAAUUAAAUCUAGUUAAUCUUUCUUUUUUAAUUUUUUAAUAUGAACUAUUUACUUAUAAGUAAAAAACGGGACAAUCCGGGACAUUUUUUUCAAACCGGGACAAAGACUCAAAAACCGGGACGUCUGGUCACGUUCCAUGAGAAUAAUAUAUUAUUAUUUCGUAUGGAUUAUUCAAGUGAAAUACACUGCAAAAUACAAUAUAGUGAAAUUUUGGAGAAGAAAUUCCGAAACUUCUUCCAAAGAAUGUCUGUAAAGAACUUUUUAUAUAUUUAAUAUAAUGAAGUUUCCAGCUAGGUGAUAUAUAAAUGGAUGAAACUAUUCGUUUUCGUAUUAAAUUACGAAUUAUAUGAUGAUUUUAAUAAGUAUGUUCUAUAUUCUUUAGAGUGAAUAUUUGAAAAAUUUAUUUUUAAUCGUUUCCAUUUAUUUAUCUGUACAUUUGUAGCGCAUAGAAUAACGAAAUAUAAAAAAGGGAUUUGUCAACAGUCUAAAUGCGUAUAAAAGGAAGAAUAUCAACUAUUUUAGGACAGACUAUCUAUUACACUGAAAUGUAUAUUAAUUUGUUAGAGUAUAAAUGCUGUAUGCGAAAUUUAUAUUUGAUUAAAGCGUAUACGUAUUACAGAAUGUAGCGGAAUAUAUGAAAGAGAGAAAGACAAACUCUAAGUUGAUAUAAACUGCAUUAGAAUAUGUUGAGAGUAUUAAUUUUGUUUCAGCAGGAAAUUCCGUUUUUGAAUUAUAUGUCUUUCUCUGUUUUAAGUAGUUAUAAUCAUCAUAGAGUGAAUGAUUAGUCACUCGACUCGACUAAUCACUCACUAUAUCGCACCCAAGCUGCAAUACUGCCAUAAAGUCAAUAACAGUAAUUUUACAGGAGAGCCUGUCAAAGUUUUCACACUACAUAAAACCUUCUGUAGCACCUGAGUACCAUCAUGAUUUCAAUAACAUUUAUUUUGCACUACAAUUGUGGCAGUUUUGCAGCAUUCAGAGUUAUGUAUUUACAGUCUGUACAGACAUAAAACUGAAUAUCAUUGUUUUUUGACUUAUGGCAGUAUUGCAGUCUGGGUACGAUAUGAUGAUCAUCAAAUGUAAAGUGCAUCGUAUAUUUCUGUUCACUGUGUAAAGUAGAUAUUCUGUCCAUAAUUUGGAUAAAAUAAUCACAAUUGCUUAAAACAGCUAAGCGUGUAGCCUAAAAUUUUUGAUAACAGUGUUAUUGUGGUAAGCUAAGGUUCUUAUUGAU
rnacentral:lncRNA from 1 species